rnacentral:miRNA from 1 species
UGGGGUGGCCAAAAAGUUUGCUUGGGUUUUUCUGUAACAUCUUAUGAAAAACCCAAAUGAACUUUUUGGCCAACCCAA